CUGUGUCAUCGCUGAUCGUGCCAAUCAGUAGCCGUUCACGAGGCUUUUCGACGUCGGCACUUUCUUGGUGUUGGCUUAGAAAAAAAACUGUUUUUUACUCAAGUGACUGUUUCUGGGUAUAUUUUUGGAGAAUUUGUAGUAAAAUAAUGUGUGUUGUAAAUUGUUAGUGAAUUUUAUAAAUUACAAAAAAUGUGGAUCAAGUAAUUGCUUGCAGAUAAAUUGAAUCCGCAAGGCGUAUUUAAGAGACGCCACCAACGUUAAGCCGCUGGCAAGUCAACAAGCAAGCAUAAAAGCCUACAAUGGAGCAAUGCCAGAAGCAACAACAAAUCGAGUAUGUGUGAGCUGAGCUCAUAUCUACAUUGCCACCGCCAUCACCGCGUGGUUGUUGUGCUUUAGAAAAAAUGCCGAAUUCCAGAAGCGACUACUAAACAAUCAAUUGGAUUACAAAAAUAGUACGCUUAGGCGACGAUAUUAUCAGAAUUGCGAGCAGCAAGCGCUGCAGCUGGAUGUAGGGAAAUGUGUGGCUGUGCAGGAAUAAGAAGAAGAAGAAGUACCAGAAGAAGACGCAGUGGGCGCAACAUUCAACUAAGUAGACGAUGAGGUUGACUAUUGAAAUUAAGAGGGCAUAAGUUGAGCACACACAUGCACAUGCGUUGCUAUGAGCGUGCGCUCGCGCUUUACCUUUGAAGCACUACGCGUAACAAAACGAAAGCUAAGGCGUUCGGCCAGUCAACGCGCAACGCGAUGUGCUACCGCGCGCAUGCGCCCAUCCGCACCGCACCGCCGCGCGCCAAUGCUAUUAUACAAACGUAACGAAGUAACGAAAUUGUUCGAUGGUACGCGCCCGCCAAAACUGCACAAAGGUGAAUACAAUGCGGAAUGCUUUCUAAGAUUCUUGUCGUGGCUGAGUAAAUGCAUUUCGAAUAUUCGUUGUUGGCGGCAUUGGCGCGCAACAGCAUCAAUUGCGCAAGCGCUGACUGGCCAAAUGCCGCGUUGGCAGGCAGAUGAGUCAACAAUAUCAACAAAUACAAGAACUACAGCAACAAAAACAAUAGUUGAAAGCAGCCAAGUAGCUGCCGUAGUAGAGGUCGAAAAAUCAUAUGCCUAGUCAAAGGAUAAAGCUACGAUGGUUGUGGCGGCGGCGACGGCGACAGCCAGCAAACGCGUGCCGUUGUUUUUCAAAUGCUUUGGUUGCUGCCGCCACCGCCAUUGCCGCCAUCAGCGCGUUCGUUCGCUAACUGCCACGCAAUUAAAUUUACGAAUGCCGCCCAAUGUAGAAGCGCACGUGGUCACCAAA